GUGUGUGAACCCCCCCCCCCCUAAGUUCACUAAUGGGGGUGCUCUAACCUCUCCAAUUUUGGCCACGGGAUUUUAAUUGGAUUCGGGAUUAGGGUUUUGAGUUUUUUUUUGUCGAAGACUUAAUUUGAGAUUUGUGAUUGUUGAGAGUGGAUCUGCUUGGUAUCUUGUUUGCUUAAGUUCAUAUACUGAUUUUGAUAAUCUGUGAUUUUUUCCCUUUUGGCAGGUAUCUUUCUGAGUUACUUGGAGAGAAGAAAGCCAAGAAUGCUGCGAUUAAGCAACGCGAAGCCCUCGAAGCUUCUCAGAGAGGCAGAAGGCUUGACGCCAUCGAAGCCCAGAUUAAGGAAAGACAGAGGAAACUGGCUGAGGAUCAGAGAAAUCUACUCCAGCAGCAGGCACAAGCAAAAGCCCAAAACCUUCCGUAUGAAGAUGAUUUGGCGAGGAAGCGACUGCAUGUAACAAGGAAAACCGUGAACAUUAUGUUUAACAGUUAUAAAGAUCGUACCUUUAAUGAGAAAGUGUUUGACUUGGAACUUCUGCAGACGGAUCAUGAAGCUCAGAGACGUCAAAUCUCUUGCGUUUUUGUUUUCUUGAAGAGGAUUUUAGCUUGUGUCCCCACAUUAUCUCUAGCACCCAUUGAAGCUUACCCUGUGGUAAUAUUUCGUUUAUGAGGUGACUUCAAACUCGCGGGAUACAAGUUGCUCACUCGUCCUGGAAAUCCAGUACUGCUCACUUAUUCUGAACUCAUUGAUGCUUCAGUAAUACCAUAAGUCUUUUGUACCACAAAAAAAUCUGGCGUUAAUAACAUUUUUGUUUGCCUUGGUAGUGAUUUACGUCAUAAACACUAACAUGUAUCUUAUAAGCCCAUAUAGGAGGAUAUUAAUGUGUAAGAUCACUAUUAUUAGCCCAUAUAGCCCAUUUUUUAAAAAAUUUCAAUUAGUUAA